UACGGAGGGUGCAAGCGUUGUCCGGAUUUAUUGGGUUUAAAGGGUGCGUAGGCGGCCGAUUAAGUCUGGGGUGAAAGCCCGUUGCUCAACAACGGAACUGCCCUGGAAACUGGUUGGCUUGAGUACAGACGAGGGCGGCGGAAUGGAUGGUGUAGCGGUGAAAUGCAUAGAUACCAUCCAGAACCCCGAUUGCGAAGGCAGCUGCCUAGACUGUAACUGACGCUGAGGCACGAAAGCGUGGGGAGCGAACAGG
rnacentral:rRNA from 1 species